GAUGAACGCUGGCGGCGUGCCUAAUACAUGCAAGUCGAGCGAACAGACGAGGAGCUUGCUCCUCUGACGUUAGCGGCGGACGGGUGAGUAACACGUGGAUAACCUACCUAUAAGACUGGGAUAACUUCGGGAAACCGGAGCUAAUACCGGAUAAUAUAUUGAACCGCAUGGUUCAAUAGUGAAAGACGGUUUUGCUGUCACUUAUAGAUGGAUCCGCGCCGCAUUAGCUAGUUGGUAAGGUAACGGCUUACCAAGGCAACGAUGCGUAGCCGACCUGAGAGGGUGAUCGGCCACACUGGAACUGAGACACGGUCCAGACUCCUACGGGAGGAAGCAGUAGGGAAUCUUCCGCAAUGGGCGAAGGCCUGACGGGGCAACGCCGGGUGAUUGAUGAAGGUCUUCGGAUCGUAAAACUCUGUUAUUAGGGAAGAACAAAUGUGUAAGUAACUAUGCACGUCUUGACGGUACCUAAUCAGAAAGCCACGGCUAACUACGUG
rnacentral:rRNA from 1 species